GGGUGUAAGGAUGAGAGAGAGAGAGAGGAUGAGAAGGGAGGAUUGGGAGGAGUAACAAAAGUGAAAACAAAAACUUGAAAGUGAAAACAAUUUCAAAUAGAUUUCAGUUUUUAGCUUUUGUUUUCACUUUUGUUACUCCUCUCUCCCAUCCUCCCCUCUCAUCUUCCUUCUCAAUCCCAUCU
rnacentral:pre_miRNA from 1 species